rnacentral:rRNA from 1 species
AUUGAACGCUGGCGGCAGGCCUAACACAUGCCAGUCGAGCGGAUGAAGGGAGCUUGCUCCUGGAUUCAGCGGCGGACGGGUGAGUAAUGCCUAGGAAUCUGCCUGGUAGUGGGGGAUAACGUCCGGAAACGGGCGCUAAUACCGCAUACGUCCUGAGGGAGAAAGUGGGGGAUCUUCGGACCUCACGCUAUCAGAUGAGCCUAGGUCGGAUUAGCUAGUUGGUGGGGUAAAGGCCUACUAAGGCGACGAUCCGUAACUGGUCUGAGAGGAUGAUCAGUCACACUGGAACUGAGACACGGUCCAGACUCCUACGGGAGGCAGCAGUGGGGAAUAUUGGACAAUGGGCGAAAGCCUGAUCCAGCCAUGCCGCGUGUGUGAAGAAGGUCUUCGGAUUGUAAAGCACUUUAAGUUGGGAGGAAGGGCAGUAAGUUAAUACCUUGCUGUUUUGACGUUACCAACAGAAUAAGCACCGGCUAACUUCGUG